GCCGGAGUGGUGGAACUGGCAGACACGCAGCGUUCAGGGCGCUGUGGGCGCAAGCCCGUGAGAGUUCAAAUCUCUCCUCCGGCA
rnacentral:tRNA from 1 species